GGGAGGGGAGGGAGCAAUCCGGAGUUAGGGUUUAAUGGGUACCGGGUUUCACUUCGGGACGAGGAAAAAGUCCCAGAGAUGAAUAGUGGUGAUGACUGCCCAACAAUGUGAAUAUACUUAAUACCACUGAACCUUACACUUGGAAAAUGGUUAAAAUGGUAAGUCUUAUAUAUAUUUUGCCACAAGAAAAAAAAAAGAUAUGAAAAUACGGAGAGAAAAGUUAAUGGUAUGAAGACUCAACUUUUUGUGGAAGAUAGAGAUUUAUUUCUAAAUUGAACGUGAGUAGGAAAUGCAGCGUUUCCAGGCAGCGACCCACUCUGGAGAAGCCAAUUAAGCCAUCGGGAGGUAACACACAGUCAGAGGGGGUUUUUUAAAUCUUCUCUCUCCCGUGACCCUAUUUCUGCCGGGUUCUUACUAAACUCUGAUAAGGCAUGGUGAUACUUCGUGAAAUACAAAAUCAGAGCCCCAGACUGUCAGGGUCUGAGAAUGAAGGGAGGCCCUUGGUGAUGACUUGACCCACAGUUCACACGGAAUGCUUUCUUCCUUGGGGACAUUUCCUAAACAAAGAGCAGCCGUGUGUCUUGCCCAGCCCCAUACCUAAGGCCCCGUACCUAAGUCGGUAGAAAGUGUAAAUGACCCUAAAUGGUGGCCAUCUCAAAGGACGCCUACUAAAUAGUCAUUUCAUGGGCUUUCUUGUGAUUCUAUCAUAUGAAGAACACAGGUAAAUAUUCUCUGAUUACAUGCCAUAAAUAGUACAGAAAACAGAAAAUUUUUAAUUAUAAGACUGACAAUUCUCACAGCCCUCUUCUAAACAUGGGGGGGAAGGUCUUAGAAACUACAGAAACCACACUAGAUCAGUCACUUUGUGACUUAACAUUUUAAAAGAUGAUUAAUAGCCAAGAUUUUAUCAAAAAACUAUUAUAGAGGGGAUAUAUGGGAACUCGCUGUACUUUCCGCUCCAUCUUUCUGUAAACCUAAAACUUCUCUGCAAAAUAAAGUCUAUUCAUUUAAAAAAGCAAACAAAACUAUUUACACAUCUUAUAGUAGCUAUCAGUUACUUUAAGAAAACUUAAACCGCCUCAGUUGGCUAAUGAGCGGUGUUAAGGCUUCACCAAUUUCUCAGGCGAUCUUGGUUCACACAGCGUGGCUCCCAGCUAAUUAUCUGCAGGUUCUAAUCUGGUCUCACAGCUUGCCCGGGCUUCAUUUCCGCACCUUAUGGCGCGUGAAGGACAGGCCAGAGUCCGCGCCCUCGAGUACGCAUGCGCAGAUGGCCCAGGGCUCCCAGGUCUCGGGAGCGCACAGGCGUGAACGGGCAGCUGCCGGUCGCUAAAGCGUCUCCGCCUUGAUCACGACUUCAGCAGCCCUGUCAUCCCGCCCAGACCAACGCUUACAGAGUGCGACUUCCGGAACCACUCUCUCCCCCGCCCCCCAAAAGGGACUGACAGCUGAGUAAUACACUUUUAAUUUCUUAUAAUCUAGAAAAUUAUAAAACUAAAUUUAAUGUUUUCUAUGAUUCAGGCCUAAAAUGAUAAAUCCAGGGGAUGUUUUCUCUACAUCCAACUGCAUUAUUCACAUGAAUAAUGUGACUACCAAUUGACAGCUCUUCAGAUUUCUCACAUUACUGGUCAAGCGAGGAAGAAGAAAAGAAGCCAAGUCGCUGGACAUCAAGAGAACGCCCCAGUUCCUUGCCGGGGCUCCCUCCCACCCUGAAGACCUGCAGGGCUUUGAGUUACUGGAGCAGGCAGAGCGGAGGGGCUGGGGAGUCACGAAGGCACCAUGCUCUGUGUGCUCAGGAGUCUAUGUUCUGAGCCACUGAGAAAAAGCAGCUCAAACCUCGUGAACGCAGACUUCACAAAAUCUUGGCGAAUAGUAUCUCCAUUGUAGUAAUCAGCAUCAGAUAGUUCUUGCACUAGAUAGGUUUCAGAGAACUUCCAUAUUUCCUUACCUUGCUGGUACUGUAAAUAAACUUUUAAUAAAAAGAAAGAUAAAUUCCUUCAUUAGCAUGGCGGUGUAGAAAAACCUUUAAAUAAUUAAUUUCAUAAAUACAUCUUGAUUGCCUUUCACUAAAACUGAAUCUUCUCCGAUAAGCUAGUACAUAAAAAAACUAUUCACUAAAUAUUCUUCCUUACAUAUUACAUUUACCCUCACUUCAUAGUUACAGAAUAAUUAUUAUUCCUUGUUGCAUAUGACCACAUCUGCUAGAAGAUGAAGGAAAGAAAUAUGUACUGGAGAAAGCAUGUUUUAAAAAGAACAUUUUAACAAGUCCCUCAGGUUGCUGAGUCUUUCAGACUACAGAAAUAUUUCAACAAAGGGAAACGCCAUGCGCUUCAAUGGGGGGAGGGGCAGGAAUCAAAGGGUGAGAAUGGGCACUGGGAUGGAGAACAUACCAAGAGCAAAAGUUUGAUUUCACAUGUAAAAAUCAAAGGCAGAAUGAGGGCUGAACAGAACCCACAUGUGACACAGUUUUCCCAUUACUGAGUCACGCACUUAAUAAAUUAGACUAUCCAUUUUUGUUUAGAGACGUCAUUUACUUUAGUUAGUAUUACUGUAAACUAAUUUGAACUUUUUUCCCACAUUCAGGACCCACAAUGGAAGCAUUUUUUUUCUAUCCCUGUAGUUAGCCAGUAGCUAAAGACUUUAUAACGCCAAACUCCUUCGAGGAUGAAAUAACGUCCUCUAUUCCUCUCAUUUACCAGGAGUAUUUUUUUUGUCUUCUUUCUUCCCAGCCUGAGUACACUCAGCCUUCUUACAUGCACGUCAGGACCACUUUCAUCUGCUGGAAAUUCUCUUAUUAUCAUUAGGAGAAAAGCUGCCUUGAAGCUGAGGGCCAACAAUGCUGCCACACACCGUUACCAAGGCUUCCAGAUAGUUGAAUAAUUCAUUUCUAGAGGUUUCUAUUUUUUUCCCAGCAGAAAAUAUUUUCACCAUCUUAAAGAUAGAGUAUCUGAAAUGCUGACUAGCCCUGAAGCUCAUUGCAACAACUUCUUUAUCAAAAUUUCUCAAAUGAUUCAAGGCCAACGGUUCCAGGCCUGAUUGCAUUUGUGUGUUAGAGAAGCGUGAGGUUUUUCUCUUUCUGUUUUGGAAAAACACAUUUUUGAGUCCUACAAAAUGUUAUAUUUGCCUAAACCACACUCAAGGUCAUUGUGAUAUUCUGAAAAGAAAGUGAUUUGCAAUUCUUAAUUAAAGGAUCUGGGGCAAUAUGUUGAGAUCAUUGUUUUCCACCAUGAAAUAAAAGAUCAUAAAUAUUUUUUAUGAUUGAAUAAUGAAACUGGCUUCUGGUGUCAGGAGUUUUUGUUCUGAAAAACAGUCAAAGCUACUUAUUCAAUCCACGGAGAAAUCUGGAAAAACAGGAUUUAUGUUUCUAAAUUGAGAAGUUUGUGAUCUUUUUAAACAUUUAAAUCCAUUUUGUUCUCUAUACACCCAACUCUCACUUCCCUAAUCUCACCCGUUUACCCACACGAGCAUCUGUAAGUCAAGUAGAGAAGGAUGGUAUCAGAAAUAAACUGCCCUGUCUGCCAGCGCCUUCUUUGGAACAUGGUGGCUGCCUGACGGGACAAGAAAAACAGCACCUCAAACAGCUACAAGUGGCAUUAUUCAGUGAAAAAUCCUGGAAGCAUUUAAUACUAUUCCAGGAUAAUAAUAUCAAAGGAUUCUAAUGACAUAAUAUUCUAGUUAACAAUAUUACGGUAUCCUAAUGACCUGAAUUUUAGGAGGAUGUCUGAAUUCACAUUUAGUAACAUAUCCAUAUGAGUCAGAAAAAGCAGGUGAGAAUGUCUGCUUAAGUUCAAUAAAUUUUUAAUGAGAACCUCAGUGCAAACCACUACGCCAGGCGCCUCCCUGAGACACCCGGAGGCAUCAGCUGGGCUCUGCCUAACUCAUACAUUCUCAGGAUCAGGAGAAAAAGAGAGAUGUCUACUCACAGAUUCUGACAAGCAUAACAUUAAAAAUGCAGUGACAUUUAAAAAUAGAUUCGAGGAGAGAGACUGGAACAGGAAAUGCAGUCAGGCAUAAUCCAGGCAGAAAUAUGAGCACAUGUGCUCAGGCAAGAGCAGGGCUGAAAUCCUUAAGUGGCUCCUCUUGUCGCUCUUCGAUUUCCGUUUCCUUCCCUUUGCACCUUUCAUAUAUCCAUUCGUGCCCUACUCACCCUUCAGUAAGCCCAGGUCUUUCCUGAACUCCAGGCUAAUGCUAGUCCUCUUUUUUGGUCCUGGCUUAAACCAGCACGCACUACCACGGCACUUACAUUUAUACAAAGACCAUCACUUUGCUGACCAGUCUUGCCCCAAUUCUUCUUCCCUCACUAUCCUCCAAAAAAUAGGAACAACUCUUAAUUAAUACGUGAGUUCCUUCAGGCACAGUCAUGUCCUGCUUGCUCUAAGUCAGCUUCUGGCCCAUGUGAUUGCCCCACAAAGCGUGAAUGAAAGAAGAAAGGAAGAAAGGAAGGAAAGUUCUCUCACACUCCUGCAUUACCAGCAAGUGCACAGAACCAGGAGCCUAAAUCUAGCUUCUCAUCCUGGUUCCACCACUAACUCACUCUAUGCCUUUGGGCACGUCACCCUCUCAGAGCCUCUACUUCCUCAACCAUAAGCCCUUUUUCCCUAAGAUACUGUGAUCCUAGAAAUUUACUCCAAUAGACUAUCAGGUAAAUUUGCCUACCAUUCUCUCUCUCACUAUUUGGAAAACAAAUUAAAAGACUUUCUCUAUUCAAUGCACAGAACUUGAGAAAGAAUAAAUUUGGUAAUUCUUUGAUCAUCUUGGAUAAAAGAACUAAACAGAAACAUAAACUGGCACUAUUUUAUUUGCUUAUUUGGAAGUCACUCUUCAGAACCUCCCCCUGAAGAAGAGUGGAAGAGAAACAAAUGAUGUUUCACAUGGCCUUGACCAUAAGCCAGAGAACCCGCAGAGGCUGGCUGUGCGCCCCAUCCACGCCUAUGGCAGUAGCUCCCUGCCUACUCCCCAGUGUUAAAGGCAAGACAACAGGCCCCAAAUGGAAUUGCUCAUGCUAAGCUCCACAUCACCAAACAGAGACUUACGACAGUUUCUGUCGCUCUCCCAGAAAAGGAAUCUUAAACCAGUCACUCAGGAAUCGCCCGCCCAGCAUCAGCUGGGUAAUCUGCCUGAUAGGGACUUGCCAUCCCCUAGGAGGAAAGCACCUUUGCAAUAGCCAAUCUGCCUUUGUGCCUAGUAUAACUUCCUUGUUCCGCUCUGCUCUGCCUAUAAAAGUCUUCCAUUUCGUCCAGCUCCUCUGAGCUCCUUUCCAUCUGCUGGAUUGGAUGCUGUCCGAUUCAUGAAUGGUUGAAUAAAGCCAAUAAGAUCUUUAAAAUUUACUCAGUUGAAUUUUGUUUUUUCACACCAGUAAGCAUAUAAAUCUACAUCUUGUGGAAGCCCUUCAAAACCCUAAGUUCUAUUUAAUAUCUAACCUGCACGUGCCCAGGCUUCAGAUGGAAUGUCCGUUUUAAUCAUGUUUUAUGUCAACUCUGUUAGAAUUGCUAGUGCCUCUGACAGGCGGUAGUGGGUAAGAAGUAAGAACAGGGGCUUCUGAGUCCGACAGCCCUUGGUUUGAACUCCAGGUCUGCCAGCUGCCAGCCCAGGGGCUUUACCCCCACAGUCCUGCUCCGGAAUGAGCCGGCCGCCUGCCCCUCCUUUCCGCACAGGUUCCCUUGUGCUUUUCCUGUGCACGAGCCUUUCUCCUCCCGGUUGUUGUCUCUCUUGAUUUCUAUCCCGGGGGACAAGACCCAAGGCGCCAGUAACAAAAUUACUUAUAGUAGCAUACCCCCAACCCCUCAAAUAUGCAGUCUACUAACAAGCUGUGGCAAAAGUCAUCUAACUCAAACUUUUUUCCCCAAAAAACAAUACAAAUAGACCUGCAUAUUAUGAAGUAGGUAUAUUUGAAAAACAAGCAUAAUGAAACCGUUUUCCCUUUUUACUUCUGAUUAAUGAGCAAUUGACAACAAUCCUUAAAACAAGUGGUUUCUUGCUCCUCUCUUUCCUUCCCACGAGAAACCUGAGCCGAGCACUGUCAUAACAAGAGGACACCAUUUAAAGGAAUUCUAUUUCAAGUUAUUUAUUACAAAUUAAAAAUAAUUUUAACCACUACUAAGCGAACUUCUUUUAUAUAUCAAAUACUAGCAUCCUCAGAAUGUUUAAAUAAUAAAACAUCAAAGCUAAUGUUGAAAUGUAGGAGUCUUGUUUGCUUAGUGUAAAACAAACAAGGCUUCAUUCCCAAUGAGAAUUAUUCAGAUGUUACCAGCUAGUUACUCCAUUUCUCCAAGAAAGAAGCAGCUGACCCUUGGGAGCGUUGUUAAUGGCAGGCACUCGCAAGGCCCGUAGGCAGGGCCUCUCAGGGAGACAGGAGCACUAACCAGAGAAUGGCUGACCCCCAAAAACAAAUACUUGAUUCUUGGACUAAACCAAUUUAAUCAUUGACAGCUCUUAGUAAAAGAAAAGCUUUAAGAUAUUCUAGAGAUUCCAAGGCCCUACCCAGCACAGAGAAAAAAAACAGGAGGAGGAGGGGGAGAAGGAGAGAGAGGGAGAGAAAGAAAGGCUCUCCCCACAAAGAGUGAGGAAAAGUCAAAUCAAACUCCUGGGAGUUGGGCAUUGAACAUGGUUGACUUUUUUUCUCAUGUGGGAAAAUGAAGAGAAGUUUAAUCUCAGAAAAACCAGAGUGAGUGGUGAGAAAAAGCCCUUAGCAGGGUUUUGCCAGUUCCAUUUCCACAGCAAUGGGCUCAAGGAGUCCUUGACAAUGAUAGAGGUUUUCCCUGUAAGAUACAGAAGCCUCUGAACAAGCCAGGCCCAAACACUGCCUGCAGGACACAGGCCUUCUCAGAAACUGCCCACCCGUCCUAAAGCUUGUUUAAUCCUGAUGGGCCAUGACCCGCGGUUUUUGACUCAGCAGACAAGUUUAGCUGCAGAGCAAAACACUUUAAUUCAUUCAUCAUGACAUGUUGCUCUCUUUUGUUGCCACAAAAUUUAAAUUGUUGUUAAAGGGCAACAAUUUAAAUAUUCUAUCUGAUCAAAAUCAUCGUUGCACAUACGCAAAACAGAAAAGCACCUCAACAUUCAUAUAUAUUUUAGAAUUUCAAAUCAUUCCCAUUGCCCUGGAAAGGCAUUGCCCCUCCUCCCUCCUUCCAAAUCCUUGCAGAGAUGAACUCAGUGUAAAGGAAGGUCAAAACGUAAGUGCAGCUUUUAAGUUAAAUAUUGACAGCCCUGUUGAAUUAAAAUGCAGUUGUAUUAUAUUUUGCUUAUAUCAAUUUAUAAUGUUUACAAUGUUUAUAUCAUUUGUUCAAACACUUAAAAACAUCUGUUCGUUCAACAUUUUCUAACCAGCCCAAACAAUUCCAGAAACCAUCCACUCUUCUACAAACCCUCAAGGUGUUAGUUACUUCCUCCCUUUCCUCUGCCACUUCUGCGCUCUGUUGUACAAAUUCUACUUGCUUAUGCUUUCAAACUUCAGCCUCCGUCUUGAGGAGCGUGCCCAGGGCUGCUUCACGGGUGUGCAGCCAGUGCAGUCACCCUUGGUUGAACGCUUUGCUGAAACUGUCCUGAAAUGUCUCAUCAUUUAUAUAAGGGGCCCCACAGCUUCAUUCUGCACUAGCUCUUCAGACUAUGCCCUGGAUGUGCCUGGUGGUAGCUUCCCUUGAGGACGGUCCUCACAAGUGUCUAUGUAUCUCUGAUGAAUCACCUGGCAUUUGAGAUGCCAGAUGUGUCACCGCCUCUAACUGAACACCAGUACAAUGACAUCGAGGUGGCUGGAUCCACCAGAUUACAGCCCCUUUUAUUCCAGUACAUACCUGGAGGGACAUCUUACAAAGGAAUCAUUUGAGAUCUGUUUCACCUUACAGACCAACAGUAGACAAAUACAUUUAAUAACUAGAGUAAACACUCCCACCGAAGGUACACAGAGCUAACGGAUCUUGGUAUCACUCUCACUGGGGUUGAUAAGAUUGCAUUUUCUCAAUUCCAGCUGAAACUGGGCUGCCUCUUUGUAUAGACAUAUACAUUUAAUGUGGCAGUGUUUCUCCUGUUUUCAGAGAGCUGUUACUAAAUCAAGGAAGAGCAUAAGAAUUGCACCCACUGUCUCCAGAUCCUUGGCCCACAUUUGCUCUUCACUCAAUUUCAAUUAAGAUUCUGUUCCUUUAGGACACAGGGAUGGUUCAACAUCCACAAAUCAAUCAACGUGAUACACCACAUCAACAAACUGAGGAAUAAA